UGGGAUUGGAGUCAGAUUUAGGGUCAGAUUUAGGUUUUAGGAGUCAGGGUUAGGGUUUGGAGGUCAAGGUUAGGGAGUAGGAGUCAGGGUUAGCAGUUAGGGGUCAGGGUUAGGAGUUGUGGAUAAAUUGGGGAGUGAGGGAAGGAGGAAGAAAUAGGUGGAUGGAUAAAGAGAUGGAGAAGUGGGUGAAGAGGGUUGAAGGGAUGGAGAAGUGGAUGAAGGAGAAAUGGAGGGAUGGUUGGAGGGUUGUGGAACCCUUCCAAAAGGACCACUAAUCUAACCACUGCUCCUCCUCUUCCCCCAGCCCUGUCCUGCUCAUCCAAACACCCACAGGAGCCACAUGCCACCAUCCCAAACCCUGUGUCUUCAUCCGGGUGGCCUUAGUACCAUCAUCAAUGCCAAAGUCCCUGUGUUCCACACAGUGGAGGAGCUGGAUCCUGGGUGGGUGCUGCACCCACUUGCCAUAGGGGUACCUGCAGCACUCCCUGAGUCCCAGACUGCACCUACGGGUUCCAGAAACGCUGCGUGUCCCCCAGUGGCCCCCACUGAGGUGACAAGAAGUGCUGGGCAGUGCCAGCAAUGGUCACCUCAGGGAUUUUCUGGGUUGAGUGAACACAACACAACCUGAGGACACCAUUACCUCUGUGGGAACACCCGCAAGGUCCUGAGCCAACCGAUCCCCCACCUUAUGUCCAAUCCGAGCUGUGCUGGCUAAUGGUCCUUCUGGGAUCUCUGAGUGGAUGGGUAUGUAUGCAAUAAAAUGCUUAAACAUUUGCCUUGGCUGACUGUGUAUGUGAACAUGUGUUCUGUCCGGAUGCCUCAUCCCCCAUUCCCAACACCCUGAAGCAGUGAUAUUCCAUGCCAUGCCAUCCUGCAGGCUGUUGUGCAGAGCUGUACGUCCCUGUGCUCUCAAGCAGUCUCAUGUGAGUUCUGACCCUCCAAGAAAACUCGUGCUCCCAAGCACCUUUACUGUGUUAUCCCCAAUUCCAGGUGCUGGGGGUGAACAGCUCUUCUGGGUACCAGCAGUGCAGCGAACAGCACGGUUGGAGCCUUGCUCUCUCUCCCCCAUCUGAGUUAGGUAUCACAACUCUAGAGAUUGAAGACCAGCCACCGUGGGAAAUGGCCAUCAGCAUGAAACUCCUGAACCAGCUCUGGAGACCGGAUUGACCACUCUGGGACUCUGAUCCCAGCACACAGAGCACACAGAAAAGAAGUGUCCUGGUUUCAGAUGGGACACAUCUUUUCUUCCUAGCAUCUGGCAUUACACUCUGUUUUGUCUUUAGGAGAAAAAAACGUUGAUAACACAUCAGUGUUUGAGCUGUUGCCAAGCAGGGUUGUGUGGUGCCAAGAAUGAUUCUCAGCUUUUCAUUCUGUCCAGCCAGCAAGGGGCUGGGGGCACAAGGAGCUGGGAGGGGGACAGAACCAGGACAGCUGGCAAAGGGGUAUCCUGUACCAGGUGACAUCACACCAUAAAAACUGGAAAACCAGUGAGGAGAUGGGUGGGCAGGCAGCUGUGGUUUGUGGAUGGGCUGAGCAUCAGUUGGUGGGCAGUGAGCAAUUGCACUGUGUGUCACUUGUUUUGUAUUUAUGUGUGUGUGUAUAUCAUAUUGUAAUGCUAUAAUGGGAUGGAAAGUACCAUGAAAUGAGAACCUCACACCACUGCAUUCAGUUUUAGAGAUCCCUGAGUCUGCUGGAUGGAAGGGGCAACCUCCUGGGAUAAAGGUUUUCUGUUGUUUUAAAUUAAAGUCUCUUAUCUAAUUGCCUUCACAUCAUUAUCAGAAGAGCCAGAUUACACUGACAACCAGGCAAGCAGCUCCUGGGAAGUUCUAUCUGUCCCCUAUGCAACAGUGCUCUCCCCCUCACUUCUCUUUGCUUUUGAGAACAGGUUCCAGAUGCUGACUGUGCUGUGGAAGGAUGGAACAGAUGUGGUUACAGAGCACAGAAAAGAGGUACCUGCAGUGUCAGCUGCAUCGCUCAGCACCGCCUGCACAACUGACUUCUACUGAUCCUCUGCUUCUUUCUCUUGGUCUUUGCAAAAGCAUCCUCUGUGACAGAGCUUACCAGUGCUUCUACAAAACAACUCUUACCUUGCUCUGGGGGCACAGCACCCCAACAUGGCUGCAGGUAUAGCUCUGCUCAAUUCACAUGAGCACCUGGAGCUACUUUUUAAAACAGCAUUAAUUUUCUGAUCACAGCUCUGUAAUUCUGAU
ensembl:lncRNA